GGGACACGUGGUAUCCUGUCUGAAUAUGGGGGGACCAUCCUCCAAGGCUAAAUACUCCUGACUGACCGAUAGUGAACCAGUACCGUGAGGGAAAGGCGAAAAGAACCCCGGCGAGGGGAGUGAAAAAGAACCUGAAACCGUGUACGUACAAGCAGUGGGAGCACCUUCGGGUGUGACUGCGUACCUUUUGUAUAAUGGGUCAGCGACUUAUAUUCUGUAGCAAGGUUAACCGUAUAGGGGAGCCGCAGGGAAACCGAGUCUUAACUGGGCGUUAAGUUGCAGGGUAUAGACCCGAAACCCGGUGAUCUAGCCAUGGGCAGGUUGAAGGUUGGGUAACACUAACUGGAGGACCGAACCGACUAAUGUUGAAAAAUUAGCGGAUGACUUGUGGCUGGGGGUGAAAGGCCAAUCAAACCGGGAGAUAGCUGGUUCUCCCCGAAAGCUAUUUAGGUAGCGCCUCGUGAAUUCAUCUUCGGGGGUAGAGCACUGUUUCGGC
rnacentral:rRNA from 1 species